rnacentral:rRNA from 1 species
AUGGCAGUGCGCGACGGCGUUAUCUUCGCAAGCUUGAGGGGUUUUUCAAACGUCAUUGUGGAGACGGACUGCUCGGAGGUCGCCAACCUCUGGACCACUCGUCACGACUCUCGUUCAGUCGUGGCCCCUAUAUUGUUAGAAAUUGGAGAGCUCUCUGGUAGUUUUUUUUUUAUAUUCCAUAUUGUAAGAUCGGCCAAUGGUCCUGCUCAUAUUUGUGCUAAACAUGCUUGGACAAUUGACUUGACUGAAAGCUGGAUCGAUAACACUAGCUUCCUGAUCAGUAGCCUGUUGGCGGACUGUUCAGCGAACGCCUUUAAGCAAUAA